rnacentral:misc_RNA from 1 species
UCCGAAACAUUUGAAAUUCUGGGAUAUGCAAGUGGGUUCUUAUCCAAACCUCUUCCUGGUGAAGUAGAAGCUGAAGACAAUAAAGGAGAGUGCACAUUUCGAUCCAAAUAAUUUGAUAUUCUUGAAGACGGGGUCUUCUCCAAAAUUCUCUCUGGCGACGUAGAAGUAGACGACAGAAAUGGGGACCUCACUUCUCGAUCCAACGCAUUCGAUAUUCUAGGAGAAGCAAUCGGAGUUUUCUCCAAAUUUCUGUCAGGUGAUGUAGAAACAGAGGAUAAUGAAGGUGACUGCCUAUUUUGAUCCAAAACAUUCAAUAUCCUUGCUGGGGACAGGGAUGGAGACCGCACAUUUCUAUCCAAAUCAUUCAAAAUUCGCGGUGACGCAACUGCGCUUUUCUCCAAACUCCUGUUGGGCGAUGACAAAGCCGAGGACACUGAUGGAGACUGUGCGUUUCGAUCCAAGUUAAACGAUAAUCUCGGCGAUUCAUCUGGAUGGGAGGCAGACGCAGACGGAAACGGCGAUUGAGAUUUCCGCUCG